UACGUAGGGGGCGAGCGUUGUCCGGAAUUACUGGGCGUAAAGCGCACGUAGGUGGUACGUCAAGUUCGGGCGUGAAAUCUCCAGGCUCAACUUGGAGGGGUCGUCGAAGACUGGCGAACUAGGGUCUGGCAGAGGCAGGUAGAAUUCCCGGUGGAGCGGUGAAAUGCGUAGAGAUCGGGAGGAAUACCAGUGGCGAAGGCGGCCUGCUGGGCCACGACCGACACUGAGGUGCGAAAGCGUGGGGAGCAAAAGGG
rnacentral:rRNA from 1 species